GUUCAUUUCCAUCGUGGCGAUUGCUGGAGGAAGACAUCGAGACGUCGUCGAACACUGACGAGCGGGCCUGACCCUUCGCUGCCUGUGGAGUACGUGCGACCUGCGAGCGUCACCUGGUGCGGAUGAAAUCACAUGGAGGCCACAAGAUAUCAUAUCAAGCAAAUUGUUGAUAAUCGAAUGGCCAAGCAUCGAGUGAAAAUUGAACACUGACCCCUUCACCAGGAAUCGCUCUGAAAAUAAUUUAAAAAGUACUUUCAACCACUGCUGCUCUGCACACUGACCCCUUCACCAGGAAUCGCUCUGAAAAUAA